rnacentral:rRNA from 1 species
CAAUAGCGUAUAUUAAAGUUGUUGCGGUAAAAAAGCUCGUAGUUGGAUUUCUGUCGAAAACGAGCGGUCCACACAACGUGUGCGCAUCUGCUUCGGUUUUGACAUCCUUCCGAAAGACGACUCUGCGCUUGAUUGCGUGGAUCGGAUUCCGGGACUUUUACUUUGAGGAAAUUAGAGUGUUCACGGCAGGCUAUCGCCAGAAUACAUUAGCAUGGAAUAAUACUAUAGGAUCUUGAUCCUAUUUUGUUUGGUUUCUAGGAGCAAGAUAAUGAUUAAUAGGGACAAUUGGGGGCGAUUCGUAUCAACACGUCAGAGGUGGAAUUCUUGGAUUGUGUUGCGACGAACUACUGCGAAAGCAUUUGCCAAGGA